AGAAGCAGGCAGGCCUCCUUGAGCUGUGGUGGGCUCCACCCACUUCGAGCUUCCUGGCUGCUUUGUUUACCUAAUCAAGCCUGGGCAAUGGCGGGUGCCCCUCCUCCAGCCUCGCUGCCGCCUUGCAGUUUGAUCUCAGACUGCUGUGCUAGCAAUCAGCGAGACUCCGUGGGCGUAGGACCCUCUGAGCCAGGUGUGGGAUAUAAUCUCGUGGUGCGCCGUUUUUUAAGCCCGUCGGAAAAGCACAGUAUUCGGGUGGGAGUGACCCGAUUUUCCAGUUUCAAACAUCUUCAAGGCAGAAACGUGUUGUAUUUGCAUGCUGUUUAGAAGGCAGUGUACUGAAUAGUACCAGUUUUUUCAGAGACAAAUAUGGUGUACUUAUUUGAAAAGAAAGGAUGAUACACAUACAUAGCCAUCCAAAAAAUCCUGCAACCAGUAGCAAAUUAUAUUACACAUUGGACACAUCCUAAAUGAUGCAAGGUAAUAACAAAAAUUUACCUGUUUUCAAUCAUGUUCUUCCCCUGGUUAAAUGCUAUUUGAAAUAUUUUUAAUUCUUUGUAUCUUUUUUGCAACAUGUAACUAAUGAAAAAAUGUUGUUUAUUAGACAAUUUCAGCCUCAGAACAUGCAAAACCACGACACACUGGUAUGGUCAAACCAGGCUCUUCACUCUCCAUUCAACUUGACAUUUGCAUUUCUUCUCCUUCAGCCUCUAUAAUUAUAUUGUUGUUUAUUUAACAUACCUUUUUUCUAAUCUCUACUCACAGUGACAUCCUAAAAUGUCACUUGAAAGUCUAUGUUGACAGAAGAAUUCCUCUCUUUAAAUUCUGGGAAGCUAUUUUUUGGGAACCUAUUAUGUCUCAAAUGCUAUGUACAAUUAGAGUUGCUUCAGUUCCAGAAUAUUCAGUUUUGCCAUGCAAUUCAUUGAUUAAUUGCAGAAUUAGCUAUAUCCUUUUGUGUGUUAUUUGGUUUACAGAUUCAAACUCUGUAUAUAGUAAACUUCUUAUGGGAAGAAAUCAUUUCUCAAACUAAUAUGAGUGUAAUAGUUAAAAAAGAAACAAUUUAUACAUUUUUAAUUUAAUAAACAUUUAUUUAUCAUUAAUCUUGAACAG
ensembl:lncRNA NIHCOLE ncRNA involved in NHEJ oncogenic ligation efficiency